rnacentral:lncRNA from 1 species
CCUAGAUACGGCUCUCUGGACCUCCGAGCCGCCUGGUGGAGUCGGGGCCGAGACUUCCAGAACUCCUGAAGUUGGGCCGGGGAUUUAGCUCAGUGGUUUCGCCGCCGGCUGUGCAAGCUCAAAGACCUGAGUUCGAUCCCCGGUACCAAAACAAAAAAACAAACAAAAACUCCUGAAGUCACAAAUCCAUUCACCAAAUGAGGGUUUACGCAUGGCAUCCUGGGAUGGGAGAGACAAAGGUUCAGGCUCCUCUUUGAAUCGGAGAUGGGCAGCUUAGAGGCUCUCCUGUGCAGGCCCUCCUCCUGCCAGGCAUCCACUCUUCGGAAUCUCAGGGCUUCUUGGUGCACAGUUUGAAAACCACUGCUGCCAUGCUAAGAAUAUGGACUUUAGGGGUCAACCAGAGGGAAGACCUCAAGUUGUGUUCUGAUUCUGCCAUUUGUUUGCAAGUUUCUUGACUUCUCUGGACCUGAGUUUCCUUGUCUCUUAAACUGAUGAUCACAUCAGUACGGGUUGCACCAAUGAAUACCCCUGGUUGCCUGUGUGCAUUCUGCCACGUGCUGGGCAAGUGGUUACAUGGGAUUGAAAGUCAGUGAAUCCAAACUGAAGCAUCCUUUCACUCAAGCCAAUAGGGUUCCUGGCUCAUGUGAGUGAGGAGCAAAAAGAAUUUAGGUUCCACUUUCAGCUGUGCCUCUCACUGGCUGUGUGACCUUGGGCAGGUCACUUAACCUUCGUUUUGCCCCUCCGAGAAAUGAGGAUAGUCUUAUUUUCCACCUCAGAAAUCUAAAUGAGAUGACAUGUAAAAUAAGUCUAAGGCCCGAAUAGCAUUCACCAUCUUGCCAUCUCAAUGGCCGGUUCCCACCACACUGGGGGAGAGGGGUGUGCCCAGGUUGCCAACAGCAGAGUCCUUGCCCACCUGCUGCCAUGUCCUCCUCUCUGCCAGUCACACUUAACUUCCGAGCAGAGGCUGCUGGGAUCCAUGGAGCUUUGAGUGGAGGCAGAGGUCUGUCUGAUAUAGUUCCUACCCACACUGGCCAGGCACAGGUGCCCAGAGUUGGGGCAGGGGCUGGAAGGGAGCUGUUGUGAAGGGCAGGGAGGUAGAGGGGAGACAAGAUGCCCAAUUUGCAGCCCACUCUCCCACCCUUUUUUUGGGACAUGUCUCAAUGCAUUCCCCUCACCAACCCACUCAGGGAAACAGCUCACAGAGGGACAGGUAAAUCCACCUGUCACAGACUCCUUAGUUUCCUGGACAUAUAUGCACCUGCUGUCUCUGAACACCAAAGGCCAGGCGUGUUUAAGCCCAUUUGCAAGCUGAUGGAAAAAACGCUCUCCUAUGAGCUGGGACCUUGGCCUCUCCAGACCUGCUCUGUUUGAUUAUUUUGAUCAAAGAUGUAACAGACCUCUGUGGGUUUGCAGCAUGCUGGAGCUGGCCCUCAAGGGGUCCUCUGCCCUUUACAGUGCUCUGAAAAGGGCUGGUGACUGUCAGGCGGGUGUGGGCCAGAUUCAGCAUUAUCUUCAGCCCCUAGCCUGGAAGGGAGCUGGCCCGGGAGGGAGUUCAGGGAACAGAGUUUCUGGUAGGGGAGCCUGGCACAGCUGACCAGGGGCUGCUGUUCUCCAUCCCUCCAGGGACCUGCCAACUUACUGCCCUCUUCUUAGAAGUGGGCUCAGCUGCUACAGGCUGCUUCCAUGCUUGUAGGCAGCUGUGCUUCAGCCUGGCCUGGCUGCCCACCCCAUUCUCCAGGGCAGUGUAGGCGGGAGCCUAUGCUGCAGGAUAUCCAGGGCCAACACGAGCCAGUCCCAUUCAGGGGCUGUGAUGGAGAAUGGUGGAGCAAAAGAAUGCCCAGCAAGGCACUGACCUAUACUAUGAGAUCCUGCCUGCCCUGUCCCAGGGUGCAGAGGGAAUGGGAAAAUGAGAG